CGGAAGUGGGGGUGAGGCGCCGCGAUGGCGACGGAGGCCAAGCGGCCUGAGGUCUCCUCGGACAGCUCCGAGGAGGAGAGGCCUCUCACCGAGGCCGAGGAACUGGCCGCCCAGAAGCGAGAAACCAGGCUGAGGAAGUUCAGAGAGCUGCAUAUGAAGAGGAAUGAAGCCCGCAAACUCAAUCACCAGGAAGUCGUGGAGGAAGAUAAAAGACUGAAGUUACCGGCAAACUGGGAGGCUAAGAAGGCCCGACUGGAAUGGGAAUUGCAAGUAGAAGAAAAGAAGAAGGAGUGUGCAGCUAAAGGAGAAGAUUACGAGCGGGUGAAGUUGUUGGAAAUCAGUGCAGAAGAUGCAGAAAGAUGGGAGAGGAAAAAGAAGCGAAAGAACCCAGACCUUGGCUUUUCCGAUUAUGCAUCUGCCCAGUUACGCCAAUACCAUAGGCUGACCAAGCAGAUCAAACCAGACAUGGAAGCCUAUGAAAAACUGAGGGAAGAACACGGCGAAGAUUUCUAUCCAACAUCCAACAGUCUCCUUCAUGGAACCCACGUGCCGUCUAAGGAGGGAAUUGAUAGAAUGGUUUCAGACCUGGAAAAACAAAUCGAAAAGCGUGAGAAGUAUAGCCGGAGGCGUCCGUACAAUGACGAUUCCGAUAUUGAUUACAUUAACGAAAGAAAUGCCAAAUUCAAUAAGAAAGCAGAAAGGUUCUACGGAAAAUACACAGCUGAAAUCAAACAGAAUUUGGAAAGAGGAACGGCUGUUUAGAGUCUGCCACGGCAACGGUACGGAGAGUCUGGCCGGAGCUGAACGGAGAAGACGGGAUCCCAUUCCGCUGGUCAGAAACUGAACAGGGAAAGCAAAAUUACAUCCUGCUGGUCAGAGGACUUUAUUUGUUCCCCGGCAAACGUACAUUUGUUUUGGAAGAAAUAAAGCUUAAUGUCAAUAAAACUUAGCAGUGACAGGGGAAUAUGUACAUAGUCCUAGAUUUUAAUGUGCGCUUAAAAUAACUAUCCCAAUAAAAAAAUGGGUUUGAA